GCGGGGGAUUGCGAAAUGGGCGCAGCCUGAUCCAGCCAUCCCGCGUGUGUGAUGAAGGCCUUCGGGUUGUAAAGCUCUUUUGGUCGGGAAGAAAGUGCUGGGCUUAAUACCCUAUGCAACUGACGGUUCCUGGCCAACAACCACGGGCUUACUCCGUGCCAGCAGCCGCGGUAAUAAGGG
rnacentral:rRNA from 1 species